UACGUAGGUGGCAAGCGUUGUCCGGAUUUACUGGGCGUAAAGAGCGCGCAGGCGGUCGUCCAAGUCGCGUGUGAAAGCCCCCGGCUCAACUGGGGAGGGUCACGCGAUACUGGUCGACUCGAAGGCAGGAGAGGGUAGUGGAAUUCCAGGUGUAGCGGUGAAAUGCGUAGAUAUCUGGAGGAACACCGGUGGCGAAGGCGGCAUCCUGGACCGACACUGACGCUGAGGAGCGAAAGCCAGGGGAGCAAACGGG
rnacentral:rRNA from 1 species